rnacentral:rRNA from 1 species
CAAGUCGAACGAGAAAGGGGAGCAAUCCCUGAGUACAGUGGCGUACGGGUGAGUAACACGUGGAUGAUCUACCCCUUAGUGUGGAAUAACUCUGGGAAACCGGAGCUAAUACCGCAUAAGCUCGAGAGAGGAAAGCAGCAAUGCGCUGAGGGUGGAGUCCGCGGCCGAUUAGCUAGUUGGCAGGGUAAAAGCCUACCAAGGCAGAGAUCGGUAGCCGGCCUGAGAGGGCACACGGCCACACUGGCACUGAAACACGGGCCAGACUCCUACGGGAGGCAGCAGUGGGGAAUCUUGCACAAUGGGGGAAACCCUGAUGCAGCGACGCCGCGUGAGCGAUGAAGCCCUUCGGGGUGUAAAGCUCUUUCGGCAGGGAAGAUAAUGACGGUACCUGCAGAAGCAGCUGCGGCUAACUACGUGCCAGCAGCCGCGGUAAUACGUAGGCAGCAAGCGUUGUUCGGAGUUACUGGGCGUAAAGGGUGUGUAGGCGGUUGUUUAAGUUUGGUGUGAAAUCUCCCGGCUCAACUGGGAGGGUGCGCCGAAUACUGAAUGACUAGAGUGCGGGAGAGGAAAGUGGAAUUCCUGGUGUAGCGGUGAAAUGCGUAGAUAUCAGGAGGAACACCGGUGGUGUAGACGGCUUUCUGGACCGUAACUGACGCUGAGACACGAAAGCGUGGGUAGCAAACAGGAUUAGAUACCCUGGUAGUCCACGCCCUAAACGAUGCAUAUUUGGUGUGGGCAGUUCAUUCUGUCCGUGCCGGAGCUAACGCGUUAAAUAUGCCGCCUGGGGAGUACAGUCGCAAGGCUGAAACUCAAAGGAAUUGACGGGGGCCCGCACAAGCGGUGGAGCAUGUGGUUCAAUUCGACGCACCGCGAAGAACCUUACCUGGGCUCGAACGGCUUCUCAACGCCGGUGGAAACACCGU